GGUUCCGGCGCAUCCAGAAGGUGGUUUCAGAAUGUCUGGCAGAUGGUUCAGUCUUGUCUGGCAGGUGGAUCACUCGUGUGGGGCACCUGGUUUCGGCGUGUGCUGCACCUGUAUCUGGCAUAUCCCUCAGGUGGCUCCGGUGUGUCCGGCAGGUGGUUUCAUUCUGUCUGGCACAUGGUUAGGGGUAUCAUGCAGGUGAUUUUGACGUGUCCUGUGGGUUGUCCAGGCAUGUCUGACACCAGAUUCUCGCAAGUCCGGCAGGUAAUUUCAGCAAAUCAGGUACCUGGUUCUGGCAUAUCCAACAGGUGGUCCCAGCAUGUCUGGUAGGUGAUUCCGGUGUGUGCAGCACAUGGUUCUGGUGUAUCUGGCAGGGGAUUUCGACGUCUCCAGCAGGUGGUUCCAGCGGGUCUGGCACCUGGUUCUGGCAUGUCUUGCAGGUGAUUCAGUCGUAUCUGGCACCUGGUUUUGGUGUGUGCAACACCUGUUUCUGGUGUAUCCGGCAGGUGGUUCUCACAAGACUGGCAGUUGUUUCUGGUGAGUCCGGCAGCUGUUUCAUGCAUUUGUGGCACCUGGUUGUGGCCUGUGCUGGAACUGUUUCUGAUGUAUCCAUCACAUGGUUCUGGUGUGUCCAGCACCUGGUUCUGGCGUAUUCGGCAGGUGGUUUCAGUGUAUCUGGCACCUGGUUGCGGCAUAUCCAACAGGUGGUUCCGAAGUGUCUGGCAGGUGGUUCCUGUGUGUCUGGCAUGUGGUUCUGGUACGUUUGGAAGAUGGUCCUGGCCUGUCCGUUGGGUGCUUCCGGCAUGUCCGGGAGUUGGUUCUGGCAUGUCAGAGUGAUGGUUCCAGUGUGUCCGGUGGGUGGUUCCAGGUGGUUCUGGCGUGUCCGCUGGGUGCUUCCGGUGUGUCUGGUGGGUCAUUCUGGCAUGUCUGUGUGGUGGUUCCAGAGUGUGCGGCGGGUGGUUCCGGCAUGUCUGUUGGAUUUUUCCGGCAUCUAAGGGGCCUGAUUCCAGCGUAACUGGCAGGUGAUUUUGGUAUGUCUGGCAGGUGGUUCCGGCAAGUCCAGCAGGUGGUUCCGGUGUGUCCGGCACGUGAUUCUGGCAUAUCUGAGAUGUGGUUCCGACUUGCCAGGCAUGUGAUUCCGGGGUGUCUGUCAAGCGGUUCUGCUGUAUCUGGCUGGUGAUUUUGGUGUGUGAGUCAGGUGGUUCUGGUGUGGCCUGCAGUUGCUUCCGGCACAUUCUGGAUCUGAUUCUCGCAUCUGUGGUGACUGGUUCCAGAUUGUUCAGAUGAUGGUUCUGACGUGUCAGCCAGUUGGUUCCAGCGUGUCAAGCAGGUGAGGUCACAGCGUGACCACAGAUAGUUCCACUAUCUGUGUGCCACAGAUAGUUCCAGCCCAUCCAGAAGGUGGUUUCGGCAUGUCUGGCAGAUGGUUCAGUCUUAUCUGGCAGGUGGAUUACUCGUGUGGGGCACCUGGUCCGGUGUGUGCUCCACCUGUUUCUGGCAUAUCCAUCAGGUGGCUCUGGCGUGUCUGGCUGGUGGUUCCGUUCUGUCUGGCACAUGGUUAUGGGGUAUCAUGCAGGUGUUUUUGACGUGUCCUGUGGGUUGUCCAGGCAUGUCCGACACCAAGUUCUCAAGUGUCCGGCAGGUAGUUUCAGCAAAUCAGGCACCUAGUUCCGGCAUAUCCCACAGGUAGUCCUGGCAUGUCUGGUAGGUGAUUCCAGCGUGUGCAGCACAUGGUUCUGGCAUAUCCGGCAGGUGAUUUCGGCGUGUCCAGCAGGUGGUUCCAGUGAGUCAAGCAGGUGGUUCCGGUGUGUUUGGCAGGUGGUUUAGGCGUGUCCAUCAUGUCCGGUAG
ensembl:lncRNA